UGCACUAGUGAUUGUCUUCAUGGACCAAUGAGUUAGGUUUGUUAUAACCGUUUAGGUUUUACAAGUUUGGGGUAUGACAACUCUCUCUUCUUUAUAAUGAUUGGUUCAUUAAGUCACAUGUCUUUUUUGGAGGGAAAUUCUAUAUUGUCUUGGUUAGAAUUUGCUUAUAUCUUGAACUAAGGGGUGCUGAUAUAGUUUGUACUCAUAUUUAAUGGACAUCCUUGAUUUUAUAAAUAAAAAAGAUAUUGAACCAGACUAAGAUUGUACAUGAAGUAGUACCACAAGGGUUCCAGCAAGUAUGUUGAGAGAAGUUCAGAACAAGCUAUUAUGUUUGAAGAGGAGUUGUCAGCACGUCAUCUUUGAAUAAAGUCAGUUGUAUUAGAAGUGAAGCCUAAACAGAAAUGAGACAAUUAUCAAAUAAUUCAAAGACUACAUGGAUGUUAUCUGGACUAACAUUUGUAUGACCCAAAUGUGGUAUUUUUCAUAUGAAGACUUACAAGGCAAAUAAUUGCAUGGCUGUGGCAAACAUGUGUAUUCAUUUAACAUGUUUAAAGACUUGAAGAACUUGUACUGCCUUCUUCAGAUUUCAGUAGAAUUUGUUUAAGACAGUAAAUUCUGAGUAUGAAUUGGAAGAAUUUUUGCUCAUUUAAAUGAAUUAUGAAAAUGUUUUACAUCUUAAAUAUACAAAAACA